GUUGUAUAGUCAAGUAAUUAAGUGCAUGUGGUGGAUGCCUUGGCAGUCAGAGGCGAUGAAAGACGUGAUAGCCUGCGAAAAGCUCCGGGGAGGCGGCAAAUAUCCUUUGAUCCGGAGAUGUCUGAAUGGGGGAACCCACCUACUUUAAGGUAGGUAUUGCAACAUGAAUACAUAGUGUUGCAAGGCGAACGAGGGGAAGUGAAACAUCUCAGUACCCUUAGGAAAAGAAAUCAAUUGAGAUUCCCUCAGUAGCGGCGAGCGAACGGGGAUCAGCCCAUUAAGUUAUGUGUGUUUUAGUGGAACGCUCUGGGAAGUGCGAACGUAGAGGGUGAUAUUCCCGUACACGAAAGGGCACACAUAAUGAUGACGAGUAGGGCGAGGCACGUGAAACCUUGUCUGAAUAUGGGGGGACCAUCCUCCAAGGCUAAAUACUCCUGACUGACCGAUAGUGAACCAGUACCGUGAGGGAAAGGCGAAAAGAACCCCUGUGAGGGGAGUGAAAUAGAUCCUGAAACCGCAUGCAUACAAGCAGUGGGAGCACCUUCGUGGUGUGACUGCGUACCUUUUGUAUAAUGGGUCAGCGACUUAUAUUCAGUAGCAAGGUUAACCGUAUAGGGGAGCCGUAGAGAAAUCGAGUCUUAAUAGGGCGUUUAGUUGCUGGGUAUAGACCCGAAACCAGGCGAUCUAUCCAUGAGCAGGUUGAAGGUUGGGUAACACUAACUGGAGGACCGAACCCACUGUCGUUGAAAAGCCAGGGGAUGACUUGUGGAUAGGGGUGAAAGGCUAAUCAAGCCUGGUGAUAGCUGGUUCUCCCCGAAAGCUAUUUAGGUAGCGCCUCGGACGAAUACCAUAGGGGGUAGAGCACUGUUUCGGCUAGGGGGUCAUCCCGACUUACCAAACCGAUGCAAACUCCGAAUACCUAUGAGUACUAUCCGGGAGACAGACUGCGGGUGCUAACGUCCGUAGUCAAGAGGAAAACAAUCCAGACCGCCAGCUAAGGCCCCAAAAUCAUAGUUAAGUGGGAAACGAUGUGGGAAGGCAUAGACAGCUAGGAGGUUGGCUUAGAAGCAGCCACCCUUUAAAGAAAGCGUAAUAGCUCACUAGUCGAGUCGGCCUGCGCGGAAGAUGUAACGGGGCUAAAACUAUGUGCCGAAGCUGCGGAUNNNNNNNNNNNNNNNNNNNNNNNGCUGGAGGUAUCAGAAGUGCGAAUGCUGACGUGAGUAACGACAAAACGGGUGAAAAACCCGUUCGCCGAAAGACCAAGGGUUCCAGUCCAACGUUAAUCGGGGCUGGGUGAGUCGACCCCUAAGGCGAGGCCGAAAGGCGUAGUCGAUGGGAAAAUGGUUAAUAUUCCAUUACUUCUGUGUAAUGCGAUGAGAGGACGGAGAAGGCUAAAUCAGCCUGGCGUUGGUUGUCCAGGUGAAAGGAUGUAGGCAUGUAUCUUAGGCAAAUCCGGGGUACUCUAUGCUGAGAUCUGAUAGCAAGCUGUACUUGUACAGCGAAGUGGUUGAUGCCAUGCUUCCAGGAAAAGUCUCUAAGCUUCAGUUACACAGGAAUCGUACCCGAAACCGACACAGGUGGUCAGGUCGAGUAGACCAAGGCGCUUGAGAGAACUCUGCUGAAGGAACUAGGCAAAAUGGUACCGUAACUUCGGGAGAAGGUACGCUGUUGUUGGUGAUGGAACUCGCUUCCUGAGCUGACGACAGCCGCAGAAACCAGGCCGCUGCAACUGUUUAUUAAAAACAUAGCACUCUGCAAACACGAAAGUGGACGUAUAGGGUGUGAUGCCUGCCCGGUGCUGGAAGGUUAAUUGAUGGGGUUAGCGUAAGCGAAGCUCUUGAUCGAAGCCCCAGUAAACGGCGGCCGUAACUAUAACGGUCCUAAGGUAGCGAAAUUCCUUGUCGGGUAAGUUCCGACCUGCACGAAUGGCAUAAUGAUGGCGGCGCUGUCUCCAGCAGAGGCUCAGUGAAAUCGAAAUCGCUGUGAAGAUGCAGUGUACCCGCGGCUAGACGGAAAGACCCCGUGAACCUUUACUGCAGCUUGACACUGAACUUUGACCUUACUUGUGUAGGAUAGGUGGGAGGCUUUGAAGCUGGAACGCUAGUUCCAGUGGAGCCGUCCUUGAAAUACCACCCUGGUAAUGUUGAGGUUCUAACUCUGUCCCGUGAUCCGGGACGAGGACCGUGUCUGGUGGGUAGUUUGACUGGGGCGGUCUCCUCCUAAAGAGUAACGGAGGAGUACGAAGGUGCGCUCAGCGUGGUCGGAAAUCACGCGUAGAGUAUAAAGGCAAAAGCGCGCUUAACUGCGAGACCCACAAGUCGAGCAGGUACGAAAGUAGGUCUUAGUGAUCCGGUGGUUCUGUAUGGAAGGGCCAUCGCUCAACGGAUAAAAGGUACUCUGGGGAUAACAGGCUGAUACCGCCCAAGAGUUCAUAUCGACGGCGGUGUUUGGCACCUCGAUGUCGGCUCAUCUCAUCCUGGGGCUGAAGCAGGUCCCAAGGGUAUGGCUGUUCGCCAUUUAAAGAGGUACGCGAGCUGGGUUUAGAACGUCGUGAGACAGUUCGGUCCCUAUCUACCGUGGGCGCUGGAAAUUUGAGAGGAUCUGCUCCUAGUACGAGAGGACCAGAGUGGACGAACCUCUGGUGUACCGGUUGUGACGCCAGUCGCAUCGCCGGGUAGCUAUGUUCGGAAGGGAUAACCGCUGAAAGCAUCUAAGCGGGAAGCCUACCUCAAGAUAAGAUUUCCCUAGGACUUUAUGUCCUCUAAAGAGCCGUUCGAGACUAGGACGUUGAUAGGUUGGAUGUGGAAGCAUAGUGAUAUGUGAAGCUGACCAAUACUAAUUGCUCGUGAGGCUUGACUAUACAACACCCAAGCAGUUG
rnacentral:rRNA from 1 species